rnacentral:rRNA from 1 species
UACGUAGGUGGCAAGCGUUGUCCGGAUUUAUUGGGUUUAAAGGGUGCGUAGGCGGCUUUGUAAGUCAGUGGUGAAAUAUGGCAGCUUAACUGUCAGGGUGCCAUUGAUACUGCGAGGCUUGAGUACAGAUGAGGUAGGCGGAAUUGACGGUGUAGCGGUGAAAUGCUUAGAUAUCGUCAAGAACACCUAUAGCGAAGGCAGCUUACUAGGCUGUAACUGACGCUGAGGCACGAAAGUGUGGGGAUCAAACAGG